ACUCCGUGAUGCGGGCAAUUCUUUAACAUCAUCUUGAACCGGUUAAAUGCUUCAUGGAAUAACUCACCAACCUGCUGUUGAAAAUUCUGAAUGCCUUUCCUAGCAUU
rfam:Helianthus annuus linkage group 17, whole genome shotgun sequence.